ACGGCGAAGCACCGGUUCCUGUACGAUCACCGAGGUUAAACAACAUCGAGACUGGUCAGUAUCUAGAUGGGUUACCGCUUGGGAAUAUCCGGUGUUGUGA